rnacentral:misc_RNA from 1 species
GAUGAAGAACGCAGCGAAAUGCGAUACUUGGUGUGAAUUGCAGAAUCCCGUGAACCAUCGAGUCUUUGAACGCAAGUUGCGCCCGAAGCCAAUAGGCCGAGGGCACGCCUGCCUGGGCGUCACACGUCGUUGCCCCCCCAUCUACUCCUUCGGGAUUGCGGGGGGCGGAUGAUGGCCUCCCGUGCGCCUCGUCGCGCGGUUGGCAUAAAUGCCAAGUCCUCGGCGACGCACGCCACGACAAUCGGUGGUUGCGAAACCUCGGUUGCCCGUCGUGUGCGGUCGUCGCGCAUCGAGGGCUCGAAAAAAUUGUCGGGCUCCGGCUCGGCUUUCAACGCGACCCCAGGUCAGGCGGGGUUACCCGCUGAAUUUAAGCAUAUCAAUAAGCGGAGGA